UACGGGGGGGGCAAGCGUUGUUCGGAAUUACUGGGCGUAAAAGGCUCGUAGGCGGCCAACUAAGUCAGACGCGAAAUCCCUCGGCUUAACCGGGGAACUGCGUCUGAUACUGGAUGGCUUGAGGUUGGGAGAGGGAUGCGGAAUUCCAGGUGUAGCGGUGAAAUGCGUAGAUAUCUGGAGGAACACCGGUGGCGAAGGCGGCAUCCUGGACCAAUUCUGACACUGAGGAGCGUAAGCCAGGGGAGCAAACGGG
rnacentral:rRNA from 1 species